CGUCGCUUCUUGAUACUUCGAUGUCGGCUCUUCCUAUCAGAAUUCGCAAAGCGUUGGAUUGUUCACCCGCUAACAGGGAACGUGAGCUAGGUCUAGACCGUCGUGAGACAGGUUAGUUUUAUCCUACCGAUGCAUCGCGCGUACGCGGCGCCCCGAGUCGCGUCGGGGGUUGCGGCGGCGC